rnacentral:rRNA from 1 species
GUGUCAGCAGCCGCGGUAAUACGGAGGGUGCGAGCGUUGUCCGGAAUCACUGGGCGUAAAGGGCGCGUAGGCGGCGGGGUAAGCGUGCGGUGAAAGCUCGGGGCUCAACCCCGAGUCGGCCGUGCGAACUGCUUCGCUCGAGCACUGUAGAGGCAGGUGGAAUUCCGGGUGUAGCGGUGGAAUGCGUAGAGAUCCGGAAGAACACCAGUGGCGAAGGCGGCCUGCUGGGCAGUGGCUGACGCUGAGGCGCGACAGCGUGGGGAGCAAACAGGAUUAGAUACCCCAGUAGUCC